UUAUGUAUUAAUUUAUUAUUUAGCAUUUAUUUUUCCAACUAUGGGAGUAAAUGGGUGGUGAGAUCGGUUUAGUGACAAAAUAUAUUCCCUUGUUUUCAGCAGAACAAAUAAACGUAUAUGGAUUUGGAACAACCCGAGGGCAGAAUUUUUAUUUUUAUAGUUUAUUUGGUGUGUUUUAAUACACUUUGAAGGUUGUUCUAACCCAACAUUGGGUAAAAUGUGGACAAACCCAACCAUUGGUGUUAAAUAAUCAAUUUUAAAGAAAUUUCUCCAUGCAUUUACUCUCUUUUUGUUUAUUUAAUACAGAUUUUUCCAUAUAUGGGAGUAAAUGGGUGGUGAAAUCUGUUUGGUAAUCAAAUAUCUUCCUUUGUUUUUAGCAGAACAAAUAAAUUUGUGAAUUCACAACAAUUUGACGGGCAGAAUUAAAUGGUUAUAGUUUGUUUGGUGUGUUUUAAUACACUCUAAAAAAAUGCUAUGGGUUGUCGUAACCCAACAUUGGGUCAAAUGUGGACAAAGUCAACCAUUGAGGUUAAAUAAUUCAUUUUGAAGAGAUUUCUCCAUGCGUUUACUCUCUUUUUAUUUAAUUAAUAUUUAUUUAUUUUUCCAAUUAUGGGAGUAAAUUAAUAGUGCGAUCAGUUUGGUAACCAAAUAUCUAUUUUUGCAAUUGAAAGUAGUCUUAAAUUAGUAUAUCUUUUCUACAUUAAUCUGUUUUACUUUCUCUUGGAUUAUAGCCCUUCCAGGUCUGUUGUCACAGCAUAAGGAAAAUAAGGUCAAGCUUCCAAAGGAUCUUAUGCAACGCUAUCUGCUGAUUCCCUCCGGCCAAUCAGAGGCGAUGACUGGAGUUUUGUGAAAUGCGUCUGAUAAGAGGAAUCAUUUUUGGUGAAAGAAGCAGGCGCAGGUUUCCACAGACAUGCUGGGAUAGAUCUUCAAUAGCAUAUUCCUGCUGGAGUCCAGGAAGAGUACGGCCAGAGAGCUCAUCUUAUCCGGGACGCAGCACGGAUCCGGGAC